GCCAGCAUGGCAUAGUGGUUUGAGUGUUGGACUCUGGAGUCCAACUCUGGAGACCAGGGUUCAAUUCCCAGCUCAGCCA